AGAAUCGGAUUCAGACUCUGAAUUUGAAGCAUAUCUAGAUGACGACAAUGGCUGCUGCGCAUCUCUUAUGGCUAAAAUGAUGGCCAACAGUUUCUGUGAACAGCUAUGCCAACUGAACCACGCCUUUCGGAAGAACUGUCGUGUAGCAGUCAAAUCCCAGAACUUCUACUGGCUGGUCCUUCUUCUGGUGUUUCUCAACACUGCAGCCAGCGCCUCUGAACACUACGGCCAGCCCAAGUGGCUCACCGAGA